AGUUGCCUGUGCCCGACCGCCGGGCAGCUCCCCGCAGUGCGGCGCGAAGCACAAAGCUGCGGGCCCCGGGCGGCUCUGCAGGGGGCUGCUGCUGCCGCCGCCCCCGGGGGUCAGAGUGGGGCGGGGGUGUCCCCGCAGACCCGGACCUCCGCCCCCCGCGGAGAGGCGCGGUGGUGGGACAGGGCGGCCGAGCCCGCGGUGUCCCCCUCUCCGCCCAGCCCGGCGGCAGCAGCGAGACGCGCUGGAGGGGCCGCUCCGCGCAGCUGCUGCCAACUUUUGCCGGCGCUCAGCUGCGCCGCGGUUCCUCCCGGGAAGCAAAGUCGGGGCUGCGCCUUCGCCCCCGGCAGCGGCGUGUGCCCGCGGGCGCUUCUGGCUGCGCUUCCCUGUUUCUUUCCUCUUUUUUUUUACUUUCUUUUGCGGGGAAGGAUGGGGAAGAAGCGAGAAAGCGCGAAGGGACGUGCGUGAUACAGCCCUUGUUGCAGCUCAUCCCCGCUGGAGCGGGGGACUUAGGUCAACACCCGCUCUCCCCAAAAAAGGCCCCCGCGCCGCGGGAGGGACAGGACGGGACGGGAUGAGAUGAGACCGGCCACCGAAAGGUUGGUGCCUGGCAAUAUAAACUCAUGGAAAUAGCUGGCCUAGCUACUUCGAAAAUGCUGGGAGAGAAAAAGCAAAUAAUUGUGAAAGGCGACCUUUACACAGCCCCCACGUUUCUAGCCAGUGGUACUUGUAUAUUUUUGGAUUGUUGUAGCCCACUUGCCCAACUCACAGGCGAAAUAUCUUGCUUGAGACCUGAGGUGAGUUUUAAGGUAUAAAAGACAGCAGUUUGUUUGGGUACUACAGAAGAGAUGUUCUGUGUGCCUCAGUUGUGUUUUCUGCCAGGAAUGUGAAAUCCCAGUAGCACAGAUAUGUGGACUAGAAUAGACAGGUAAGCUGGAAUGCAGCUGUCCCGACUGGAAUAUCUUCUGCCCCUUCUGAAUGUCUGGGAUGCCUGUGACAUUCCAAAAUGGGCUGGCAGAUGUGCUGCACAAUCCGCAGGAGACCUCUUUCCUUCUGGCAUAGUAGUUGGAAGCCAGGCAAGAUCUUCUCCUCAGGGGAGGUCUGUCUGGUGAGGCAUGGGAAUUGCUCCACCCCAGGCCUGGCUCCCUGGCCCUGUGGCCCUGCGGGGCUUGGCCCAUGCAUUGCAUUCCUUCACAGACAGAAAAAAAAACCAAAAAUAGUAUGAAAAGGAAAAAGACUCAUCAGUUUUUAAAUGUAUUUUCUUCAUGACAGGCUACUGGAGCCAGUUACUGAGCCAGCCUGUUGCCAGUUUCAUGAAAGAACUAAUGAAAAUGUAGUUCAGACCUUACUUUUCAAAGAGAUCAUGUUCUGUCUUCUACUCCUUUUUUGAUAAAUUGAAUCAAGAACAUAAAAAACUGUAUUAGUCAUGAUUAUAAGAUAUUGUUUUAUAGCUUUAUACACAGAAAAGUGCUGGUGCUCUGUGGGGAUGACCAUAAAGGCACCAUCCGAUUCCUACCUGGGCCACAGGAACAAGGAGCAGCACAAGGCAUGUUCCAUCUGGGGUGUCUUUGGUGGCUUGGGCUCCUUUUGGCACUUCAGUGCCAUAGAUCUGUGAACAGUCUGACUUUUGUUAUAAGGCCACAUCCAGAAAGGUGGGAAAAAGAAAGGUAAGAAGCUAAGAACUUCCUCAACAACUUAACAUCAUUAGGGUUGCAAAAAAAGGGAACAUUAUUUUAUUAAAAGGGUUUGUAUAGCUAAAUUAAUAUUUAACAACUGUUUUCCUGAAGUAAUUGACACUGUACUAAAUGUCUAAAAGUUACAGCUUGCCAACUUUUUAAGUGAGUGCAUGUUUGGAAGCACUGCCCAUCAAAGCUGUGGCUUUCCUGGUGAAUUUCAGUUUACCUCUGUAGAUAGAUCUGGUGUCUUCCUCUUGCUUCCAAUUUUUUUUUUCCUUCUUUGUCAGCAAAUCUUAAACACUCCUCUUCCCUAGUGAGGUUUUCCGAAGUUUAACUAAAAUGUGCUCUCAUCAUCUUCAGCGUACUUAAAUUUAAAAAGAAAGUUUUACUUUAGCAGAAAGUAUCCUGGGUCUCAAAGCUGUCAUGUCGUUCAGGGAUUCAAUGUGAAACAGAGUGGCACCAAAAUUGGGAGGAACCGAAGCUUAGGGUCAUGGCAAUGGGGGGAACGUAAAGGAGGGGACACCGGGUGAGGGGAUUCGAUGUGACACAGGGCGGAACCAAAGUUCAGGAUCACGAGGAUGAUGGGGAAGGUGAGAGAGGACACCCGGGGAAGGGAUUUGAGGUGGCACCAGGCGGAACCGAAGUUGGGUGGAACUGAAGUUCACGGUCACCGGGGAGGGGGAGGUAAAUGGGAGGGGGCACCGGGGAAGAAUUUCGAUGUGACACUUAGCGGAACCAAAGUUGGCCGGAACCAAAGUUCAGAGUCAUGGGGACAUACGGGGAAGGGAGAGAAGAGGGCACCGAGGAAAUUGGGGGGCAGAAUAGAGGGGACACCGAGGCGCCACCUGGCGAGUGCGGGUAGAGGUGGUGUCCGAGGGGACGGUAGAGGAGGGGACACCAGGGGAACGUGAGGCAGGUGAGUGUGGGAUUGUGAAUUCUUGUGAGGGGCUACGUAGGUUUUUCUUCCUGUUUUCCCUUUUUUGUUAUUCUUUUUUUCCUUCUUUUUUUUUUUUAAUUUUUUACUAUUUUUCCUUUUUUUUUUUCUUUUUACUCUUUCUCUUUUUUCUUUCCUUUUUCUUCUUCUUUUUCCUCCCUUUUUAUUUUUUCUUUCCUAGCUUUUUCUUCCUCUCCUAGUUUUUUUUCUUCCUUUUUUUUUCCUAGCUUUUCAGCACCUUCCUAGUUUCCCGUGUCAUCUGAUGGGUGAAGUGUUACUCUUGCGUGCAGGUUUGGAACAUGAGGGUCCACUGCAUUUUCCACUGGAGCUCCAAAUCUCAGAGACGAGGUCAGAGUGCAGACUCUCAGGACAGCCCAGUGUCUCAUGUAGAAUAAAAUUCUUUGCGCCAUGUAUGUGUGUGUAUGUGUGUGUGUGUGUGUGUGUGAGCUCUGCACAGGAGCAGCCUGGCCCCGUGUACCAAAAGAUGAGCCAGUGGGGAAGAAGAUGACCUGGCUGGAACAAAAGAAGACUUCAUGACCUUUGGAAGAAGGUGCGGGAUACUCAGGAGGAAUACAAGGAUGCUGUGAAAUUAUGUAGCCUGCAGAAUUUGAAUUGGAUUCUACUUCCUCCAGAAGCAGCAGCCACACAGGGAGUAGUUCUGAUGAUGAUCCACCAAGGAAAAAUAAGGAGUGUGGAAGGGUCUGGAACAGUUUAGUGAACAUGAACGCUCUUCAGAGAUGUUUUGAAGCACAUGCUUGCCAAACAGUUUAACUGAUCAACAUUUCUACUGCUAAAGCUUUCUAAAUGUUUUGCAUAGUUGCUCAUAGGAUGUGAGAGGUAUUAAAAUGGCAUGUGAGACUUACUGAAAGAGUAUUUUCGUGAUUUAUCCUUUUAUGGAAAGUUUACUUUUUUAGAUCAAAAAUCCAGUGUCAGAUUUGUUUCUAUGAGUAACCUGGAUGUUUACAUUCUGGCAAGCAAAAGCUUUUUAUUGCAGCUCAUGAUGUGCACCAUAUACUACGACUCUGUUGAUGAGAGCUUAAUCUGCACUUAGAAAACACUCUAAAUCGUCAGAAGCUGCUGGCUGCAGAGCCCUGUCAUUGCUGAACCUGAGUGCAAAACAUGGCACACAGAGGACCUUCCAUCUCCCUGUUAACAAGUGUAUUAUAUGCUGCUGAGCUUUUUUCCUGCUGGCUUUUCCUGAUGCUUCCAGGUUGAGUCUCAGCUGCAACAUCAAACUUUAAGCAGUGUUCCUUUGUUAAUGAUCAAUAUCUUACUUGUGCUGUGCAGAGGCUGUAGUCCUUUCAACUCAUCUGUUUCCUUAGCUCCUGUAUUUGUUGAGUUUCCUGAGACACACAAUGUCUCUAGCGAUGUCUGUGAGAGAAAGAAGAGCAGCGCACAGCAGAAUUCUGACUGAUGCUGCUUAGGAGUUUCAUCUUUGUGCCUUUUUUUGUGUGAAUUAAAUGUAUCCUAGUGAGAAAGGGGCUUGAGGGGGUGUUUUUCAGAACUCCAUUAGCUUUCCAUACAGAAGAUGGUUGCUAAAAUCAGAUAAAUAGUAGUAACAAGCAAAAAUGGGCACUGUUUUCAAGGAGAUGGGGAAAAGGCUAUUUUUACUGGAUGCUCCGUAAGAAAAUAACAGUCCUUUAAAUAACAGUCCCAAAGGAAAGUGUUUCCUUCUUGAUAUUUUUGCAAAAAAAUGUUGUGUAAUGCAAGAUUAACCAAUCUGCGGUGUUUGCCUACAUGGUGACUGGCACUAUAGUCUGCAUUAUAAUCAGUCCAUUAUUUGCAUGUAGUAGUGUGUACAGGUCUGAAAAUCUGGCAUGGAAGAAGCAAGUUAGUGAAGAAAAAGCAAAAUGCAGACUUACUGCAGAACAAUUACUGCUGGUUGUGCAUUGAAAGUGAUUUGUUCUUUUGGUGGAUUGAAGCAGUUGGCAUUAGAAUUCUGAUUGGUGAUGCAGUCUCUUAAACUUCUUAUCAUCGGAGUGCCCUUUUUUGGAGAGGAAGAAUUCUUAAAUGUCUGGGUUCAGAUGCAAUACAGUAACUAAACUAUUUUUUUAUAUUUUUUAUGGGAAAAGUAGCGUCUAAAGUUACUUUUGAAUAAACUGUGUUUACUUAAA